UCAGGCUGGAUUGAAAAGAUCGAUGAUGAAAAACAAGCGCCGGCUGGUGAGAGGCGAUGAAGAGCAACGCCCUUACAAAAGGGUAGCUAGGCCAACGAGAUUGGACAGCUCGAGUGAAUCCAGUCCAGGCGCCCUGAGUGAACUCAGUGAGCAAGUAGUUUCAAGAUUGCGUAGGAGUGUCGUGUCGCUUGCUUCGUUCAAUGGUGAUACCAAGUUACGUGAAUGCACAGGCAUAUGCAUUGAAACCUCGU